UACGUAGGGGGCGAGCGUUAUCCGGAUUUACUGGGUGUAAAGGGAGCGCAGACGGAAGAGCAAGUCUGAUGUGAAAACCCGGGGCUCAACCCCGGGCCUGCAUUGGAAACUGUUUUUCUGGAGUACUGGAAGGGCAGGCGGAAUUCCUGGUGUAGCGGUGAAAUGCUUAGAUAUCAGGAGGAACACCGGUGGCGAAGGCGGCCUGCUGGACAGUAACUGACGUUGAGGCUCGAAAGCGUGGGGAGCAAACAGG
rnacentral:rRNA from 1 species